GACGAACGCUGGCGGCGUGCUUAACACAUGCAAGUCGAGCGGAAAGGCCCUUCUUGGGGUUCUCGAGCGGCGAACGGGUGAGUAACACGCGUGUAAUCUUCCCUUCACUUGGGGAUAACCUCCGGAAACGGGGGCCAAUUCCCGCAACGGCCAUUCCUCGCAUGGGGUGGUGGCGGAAAGUUUCUCGGUGGGGGAUGGGCCCGCGGCCUAUUAGCUUGUUGGUGGGGUAAUGGCCUACCAAGGCUUCGACGGGUAACCGGCCUGAGAGGGUGACCGGCCACACUGGGACUGAGACACGGCCCAGACGCCUACGGGAGGCAGCAGUGGGGAAUAUUGGACAAUGGGCGGAAGCCUGAUCCAGCAACGCCGCGUGAGGGAUGACGGCCUUCGGGUGGUAAACCUCUUUCACCUGUGACGAAGCGAAAGUGACGGUAGCAGGAGAAGAAGCACCGGCCAACUACGUG
rnacentral:rRNA from 1 species